GGUUUUAUAUUUUAUUUAAUAAAAUAUUAAAUUGCAAUUUUAAAGAUGUAUUAAUUUAUACUAAAACUU
rnacentral:tRNA from 1 species